UCCUACGGGAGGCAGCAGUGAGGAAUAUUGGUCAAUGGCCGAGAGGCUGAACCAGCCAAGUCGCGUGAGGGAAGACGGCCCUACGGGUUGUAAACCUCUUUUGUCGGGGAGCAAAGCGAGUCACGUGUGACUCAUUGAGAGUACCCGAAGAAAAAGCAUCGGCUAACUCCGUGCCAGCAGCCGCGGUAAUACGGAGGAUGCGAGCGUUAUCCGGAUUUAUUGGGUUUAAAGGGUGCGUAGGCGGGACGGUAAGUCAGCGGUAAAAAUGCGGAGCUCAACUCCGUCGAGCCGUUGAAACUGCCGUU
rnacentral:rRNA from 1 species